UCAGCGUGGACGCCAGCAGGGAGCAGGCGCGGUCGGCGCCCAGGUUCCCAGCGGCCAGCGGCCAGGACGCCGGGCGGCCAGGGGACAGGCCGACAGGGGCUCAGGGCCGGCGUCGCUCUCAAAUACUCCGUACAGAUAAAACUUACGCACAUAACCAGGGGGCGCAGCUCGGCGCCCAGGUUCCCAGGGCGCUGGGGGCAGGCCGCAGGCUGGCAGGCAGGGACGGGCGGCCGGGCGCAAGGAGAAGAAGACAGCCAGAGCUAGAUCCAGUGAACUAAGGUUUGAACUAUGAAAAGAAAGAGGGGUG